AUUGAACGCUGGCGGCAGGCCUAACACAUGCAAGUCGAGCGCGAAAAGUUUUCGGACUUAGUAAAGCGGCGGACGGGUGAGUAACGCGUGGGAAUCUGCCCAGUAGUGGGGGACAACAGCCGGAAACGGCUGCUAAUACCGCAUACGCCCUACGGGGAAAGGGGGGGAGUCUUCGGACCUCUCGCUAUUGGAUGAGCCCGCGUCGGAUUAGCUAGUUGGUAGGGUAAAGGCCUACCAAGGCUACGAUCCGUAACUGGUCUGAGAGGAUGAUCAGUCACACUGGAACUGAGACACGGUCCAGACUCCUACGGGAGGCAGCAGUGGGGAAUAUUGGACAAUGGGGGCAACCCUGAUCCAGCCAUGCCGCGUGUGUGAAGAAGGCCUUAGGGUUGUAAAGCACUUUUCAGUGGGGAGAAAGGUUUGUCACCUAAUACGUGAUGAAAUUGAUGUUACCCACAGAAGAAGCACCGGCUAACUCCGUG
rnacentral:rRNA from 1 species